rnacentral:rRNA from 1 species
UACGUAGGGUGCGAGCGUUAAUCGGAAUUACUGGGCGUAAAGCGUGCGCAGGCGGUGAUGUAAGACAGGUGUGAAAUCCCCGGGCUUAACCUGGGAACUGCAUUUGUGACUGCAUUGCUGGAGUGCGGCAGAGGGGGAUGGAAUUCCGCGUGUAGCAGUGAAAUGCGUAGAUAUGCGGAGGAACACCGAUGGCGAAGGCAAUCCCCUGGACCUGUACUGACGCUCAUGCACGAAAGCGUGGGGAGCAAACAGG